UACGGGGGGGGCAAGCGUUGUUCGGAAUUACUGGGCGUAAAGGGCGUGUAGGCGGCUUGGUAAGUCCGCUGUGAAAGUCCAGGGCUCAACCCUGGAAAUCCAGUGGAAACUGCCAAGCUAGAGUCCGGAAGAGGCGAGUGGAACUCCUGGUGUAGCGGUGAAAUGCGCAGAUAUCAGGAAGAACACCAAUGGCGAAGGCAGCUCGCUGGGACGCGACUGACGCUGAGACGCGAAAGCGUGGGGAGCAAACAGG
rnacentral:rRNA from 1 species